AUACUUACCUGGGCGGGGCCUAUCGCUGAUCCCGAAGGGCGAUGACCUAGAAUCAGCUCCUCCAUUGCACCAAGGUCGGGCCAGUUCUAGCAUUUCCCCAAGGGGAAAAUGCACGUCAUAAUUUGUGGCAGAGGAGGGCUCGCGUCCGCGCGGCCCUCCA
rnacentral:snRNA from 1 species